rnacentral:lncRNA from 1 species
GAUGAUCAGGCUCAGAGCCAUUACAAGGCUCUCUGGAGGAGCUAUGGGCAUCACAUAGAUUAUGUGAACUUCCAGUUCUACUCAUACGAUACGUCCACCACUGUCACUCAAUUUCUGAAGUAUUUUGAGGAGCAGAGCUCUAAUUAUGAAGGAGGUAAGGUGCUGGUGAGCUUCCUCAGCCAUGAGAGUGGUGGGUUAGCUCCAAAUAAAGGCUUCUUUACUGCUUGUGAGAGGCUCAAGAGCCAGCACAAGCUCCAUGGCAUCUUUGUUUGGUGCGCAGAUGACUCCCUGGCAAACGGGUUCCCCUAUGAGAAGAAAGCGCAGUCGCUUUUAGCAUCUGCAAGCUAAAAUCAUAAUCUAUUUGGAAUUGCCAUUAGGCUUGAACAAUUAUCUACUGUAACCGUAUUUCAGAUUGUGUUCCACAUGUUUGUCAGAAUGCUUCAAUAAAGUUGUUCCCCGCGUUUUUGUGUUUGUGCUCUAUAAUGAAUUUGAUCUUAUAUUUCUAGAGGUCCAUGUCAUAGUUUGUGGGCAAACUGAAAACCCCAUCAUGAAAAUGCUCGUUGCUUCUUGUGAUUAGCAUUCUCUUUCCAGAGAAAGUGAUCCCCACUCCUCAGUGAACACUAACUGGGUUGAAAACCUAAAAACCUAAAAACCAGGGAGUCCCUCAAAAUUUUCAGACUAAGCCAACAAACAGGAUUCACAUUUGGGGCUCAGAGAAAUGUCAAUAAGAGCAGAAGAGUCUAGAAAGCUUCUCCGCAAAGGUGUUGGUUAGAUAAUUGGCUAAUGCUUCAAGUGGUCAACAACUCAUUAAAUCAAAGGAGACAAAAUUGAUUUGAUGGCUUAAGAGGGAAAACUCAACCCAGAUCUAAAAGCAAUGGGAUGUGUGUAAACUGAAGGAGAAGAUCAAGAAUGCAAAGACACCAAAUUUUGAUCCAGACUCAAAAUCAUGCAAAAGUAAACAUGGUUACCACAGUGCUAUAAGAGCAUUUUGGUUUCAUUUGGCCCCCCAACUAAAGUUCGUGUGUAUAAAAAUCACUCACAACAGCCUCCUAGUCAUUCAAUAACACUCAACUAAACAACUUCUAAAACUUAAAGAUUGCUCUGAAAUAGAUUAAACAAGAGCAUUAUCCUUUUAACCAACCAACCCUAAAUGUUUUGAGUGGUGACUUGUUAGAACUUAAAAGUAAGUUGCCAAAAAAUGCCUGUGUAAUGUGCAGCAAGAAGAUUGAGGAUGAACAAUAUGGCAAUAUUUUCCUUCAAUGCCCUGUCACUUGUGGAUAAGAGGUGAAUGUUCACCCCUCCAACCAAAGACAGGAGACAGUAAAUUUUCCUGUAAAAUUUUGGACAACUAGCCUGCUGUCAUAUGAAGAAUCUUGUACUUCGAAGUUCUUCCCUCAACCCAUGCCAAUAUAAAGGAAAGAAACUGAACUUUCAUAUUGCUAACCCUAAAGCUAUACAUCAUCUACAACGUGUUUAGAUGAAUGUGAUAUCUUGCAUUUAAGGGUAGAGUCCACCAAACUUCUUAUACAUUCUAAAGCCAUGAGGAUAAAAAAGAGAGUUCAGAAUGGAAAUCAUCCAUAGUUUAUUGAGAUAAUUUUAUCACCUUCUGAAAUACUAUUACUAAAUGUUACAAAUUUUCUUGUUUUGAGGUAAUGUACUUGCAACACCAUACUUGCAUAUGCUUUAAAAACUAAGCCUGGCUCCCCCUUUAGCAGCCCAAUGUUCUUGUGGUCCAGUCCCAGCGAUUUCCUUGCUUGAAUGACCCCCAUAAAUAACAAAUCACCAUUCCCACAAUUUUUUUCUUGGGAUAUAACAAUAACUCUUGGAACAGACCAAAGUGACUAUGAACCUUUGCUGAGUGCAUUGGACAGCUUAUUAAAACCCCCAAGAGGAAUGGAGUCAUUUCUUUUGCUUCCGUAGCUCCAUCUGAUGAUGAUCAAGUUCAUAGCCAUUACUUGGCUCUCUGGAGGAGUUAUGGGCAUCUCAUUGAUCAUGUGAACUUCCAGUUUUAUGCUUGCGACCCUCAGUUUAUGAAAUACAGUCCUCUAAUUAUGAAGGAGGUAAGGUCUUGACCAGCUUCAUUAGUGAUAAGAGUGGGAGGUCACCUCCAGAUGAUGGCUUCUUCAUUGCCUGCAAUAGGCUCAAGACCCAGCACCAGCUUCAUGGUAGCUUUGUUUGGUCCGCAGAUGACUCCAGGGCAGGAGGUUUCCGCUAUAAGAAGCAAUCACAAGCACUAUUAGCAAUUCCCCACUAGGAUAAUAGUCUGGAAUGUUUGGCAUUGCAAUUUUAAUAUAAUAUAACUGAAAUCCUGUAUUCCUCUUCUAUAUUAUAUUCCCUCUUAUCAGUGAAUAUUCAAGGGUGUUCUCUAUCUGUGCUUCUUGUAAAACAUUGAGCCAUCAUAUUGUAACUCUAUCAAAUAAAUUAUUAGAUGGGGCAUUUGGAAGCAAUGGAAUACGUAAUUAGAAACUUCAUAAUUAGCAGAAGAAAAUUUUCAGAAAGUAAAGUGCAAGAUAAAAUAGAAUGAUAACAAAAACAGAACAUUAAAGUAUUUGCUAGAUUGACACUCAAUGAUAAUAACAUAUGAUCAUACACUAAAAACAUUAAAUCUGUUUUGGAGCCUACGAUGACCUAUUCCAUAUUCUAGGUAAGUGGAUGAACUUCAUUACUAGAUGAGAACCAAAUUUGAGGCAACACUUAAUGCCCGUAUUGACUAGAAUACGAACGUUCGUAUCAAGUGAAGUGAAGAAAUUCAUCACUCAAGUAAGGUAUUUCUUGAUCCAUUUUACAAGCCAAGGUGAUAUCAGUGCAAGGGCAAUUAUAUUAGUACAGGUUGCCAUAUAUGUCUGAAUGGAUUGGAACGAAGGGAUGAAGGAAAGGAAGGACCAAUGAAGGCAAAUACCCUAUCCCAUGGGGCUGACCUCCAACCAUCAAAGAAGGGAUUGGACUCAGGUAGGCAAGGCAGGAACUUUCAUAUUUACUUAUUUAGGAGUUUUUCCCAGCUAAGGCCCCGAUUUUCAAGCUGCUUUUCAACGUUUUUCUUGAGAAAAAAAUGAGUUGAUUUCUAUUCAUUCAUCUCUUAUUUUCUCAAUUGAUUGAGUUUGGGUGAAAACCCUUUUUUUUUUUUUUUUAGUGAGCUUCAAGAGGAGGCCAAGAUCAAGCUUGGUGAGGAUGCUGAGUACGUUCCAAAAGAUGAAGGUAUGUAGAUGAAGUGUGAAGGUGCUGGUCAAGUAAUCCAUGAAGGAUUAGAAGACUUGAGCUAGGUAAAACCUUAUACACAUUGUUUGUUCUUCAUAGUAGAAUUUUUUAUCAAUUGUAGGCCCAUGGUUUUUUUAUCUCUUCAGAGGUUUUCCAUGUAAAUUCUGGUGUCACUGUCUUUCUCUUAUUCUCCUUCUUGAUGAAUGUUCAGAUUUAAUUUUUCAUUUUAUACUUGUGGAUAUAGUUGAAUGAAAUAACAAUGAGCUAAUAUAGGUGUGAUUUUAUUUGGAUAUUAUGGAUAGUUUCCUUGUUUAUUUGGGGCAGUGUUCUUCAGUAGAAUUGGAAACUUGAGUCAAGGAGAAAUUGUUCCUAUGAACUGUGUUGGGGAAUGCUGAUGCAAUUGAAAGUGACUUGCUGAAAAUUGUAGGGGGAAUGUUGGUACAUUUAUACUUGCAUGUGAUUUUUACUUUGUGUUGGAAAGUGUUUGAAGAAAAAAGAAAAAAUUGUGAAAAAUUCUAAGGUUUGAUGAUUUGUGUUAAGAGACCUUUUAAAUUGUUUAACAACACCUAUUCACCCCCUCUCUAGGUGUUGUCCAUCUUUGAGAUUCACCUUCACUUCCAUUAUAGUAGUUGAAACAACCUAUACUCAAGGUUAAGUUAAAUCUCAGGUUGAUUACAUUGCAUCUAUAGGCCGUUUAUAUCUUUUAUUCAUAUCUUCCGUUUUCAUCCAAUUACGAACUCAACAAAUGGCCAAGAAUCAAGUCUUCCAUGAAUAUCAUAAAGUUUUCUACCUAUCAUCCCUUUCUUUUUAAUGUGUUGCCACAUGUUUAGAGAAGCAAAAGGACUUCAAUAAUUUCCUGCACCAUCUAAAGAAUGAUUCAACUUCUAGAGACAGUGAUAGGUUCAAAAGGCCACCAUCGAAGAAAAGAAAGUUUUCCCAUACAAAGUCUGGAAUGACUAUGAAGAAUGAAGGAAUUAAUUUAGUGUUGUAGGAGGUUGAUUGAUGACAUCUUUUGUGAAGUAUUGACCAUUAGUUUAUAAGUUGUCAACAGCACCAUGGUUGACCAUUAGGAUGAUAAAAACUUCACUAUGAGUUCAUUUUCACAAGGUAAACUGAUGGUGGUUAUUCCUCACGGUUUCUAGAAUGGUCUCGAAUCCCCAAGUUUGGUGAUGCCCCACUUUGUAGUGCACGGAUGGUAGCUCAAGGAGUGGUAAUUUUGAUACCAGAUGAUUAACAUUGCACAGGAUUGAUCACAAAUUGCAUGACAUUAUCACUUAUCAUAACUUUUAUAGUUAUAUGCUCUGAUUUUGCUAUUCACAGUCAGAGACAGUAACUUUGUAGUAUGAUUUAAUUAUUAUAUUUAUUUUGGCACGACAAUAUCAUACAACUUGACUGAUUUAGACUGAUUCAUAUACAAGUGCUGAUAUCAUGUACAUACUCCUAUACAUUGACCUACUAUGAGUGUGAAGUUUUUGUUAGCAUGCAGGAACUUUGUAAGUUGCUGACAUACAUCUACAGGUUAGCUUGUAAUUUUAGCUUGCACUUGCUAAUUCAAGACACGUGUUUGUUUAGUAUUUUAGUUGCUUACAACAAAUAUGUAUACACUGACACUGUCACUGAAAUAUGAUCACUUUAUUUUUAUUGACAACUACACAUUUGACAUUGUCAUCCUUCAUGCAACUAGACCAUGUAAUAAAGUAACUUUCACCUGUAGUUACAUCAUAUGUAUUAUACAAUUCUAUCAAAUGACAUUAAAUUAGUGGGGACUUAAAUUGUCAUGCAUAUCGCCAAGGCAAAAUGUCCAUCAAGGCGAAAUGCCCAAACAAGACGAAAAGUCCAAUGAAGGCAAAAUACCCAACAAAGUGAAAUGUCCAAUAAGGCAAAAUGCCCAUUAAGACGAAAUGUCCAAUAAGGGAAAAAUGUCCAAUCAAGGUGAAAUGCCCAAGAAGGUGAAAUGUCCAUUAAGAUAAAAUACCCAAUGAAGGCCAAAUAACCACCCAAGGCCAAAGGCUCAACAAAAAAUUGAGGAAGAUCAUGUACCUUCAAGGAUUGAAAAGUCCGUCUAAAAUCGUAAAGUCUAUAUAAAGUCAAAAAGCUCAAAAAAAAAUCAUAGGAUGGUUGUGUGCUUCCUAAAGUACUUGGGCACACCUUAUGAUCACAACUUUUGCUUAAGAUAAAAAGUUGAAGCAUCAUACAUUCCUUACAGUCAUAUAAACCAUCCUUGGAAAGAACUAUUCAUCAUGAGUUUAAAAAUAAUAAUAAUAAUAAAAGUAGUAAUAAUAAUAAUAAUAAAUAAAAUCAUCAAUGUAGCCCCACUUGAGGGCAAAGAGCUUCAUCAAAUCAUUUUUCCGCCUAUAAAUUCUCUAGAGACAAAUAUGUAGGCAAGAAAAAAGGGGCAAGUAAAGGGACCAGGUUUUGAACUCGUAAUCCCAUGAACAUGGGAUGAGGAAACUCAUCUUCCCAUGAACACAAGAUAAGGAGAAUUAUCUUCUCUAGUCUAAGGUCUUGAAAAUACAAGCUUUAGGAUUCAUCUCUAAGUGUCACAUGCCAUGGAGAAGUAUGUAAAGGGUGAGUUAAACUCAAAGAAGAUAACUUGAGUUAGCAUGAACGUAAGCACCAUGUUCGUUCAUUGUGAAAGGAAUAGGAAUCAAAACCCAAGUUCCCAAAGAAGACAAACCUUGCGGCCAAAUGAUGAUACGAUAUGUGGCAAAAAGCAAUACUAUGUAGUGAUAGGGAGAUUCUCUUUUUUUAUUACAAAUUUAAAAAACUUAUUAGUAAAACUAAAAAUUAAUCUGCCCCAAUUACAAAAAUAACAAAUAAAUGGAAGCAAGUCCCCCGAGAUCUUAGCAAACAUGAGAAGGAUGUAAAAAAUAAUAAUAAUAAUAAUUAGCCAUAUUCCACUAGUCCUAUGGUGUCACCACGUGAGGUCAUACGAAAAAACACAAGUCAUAAUUCCCGUACCAUUUAACAUCCCAAUGUGGACAAUCCUACUAGAGGGCAAGCAACCCUUCCAAAAUAAAACGUUUAAAGAUAAAACACUUUUUUUUUCACUUUAAAAACUCCUUGACUGAGCUCACAUGUGAGAAAAAGGGGGCAAGUGAAGUGGACGAACUUCAUUACUAGACGAGAAUUGAAUUUUGAGGCAACACAAACUGCCCAUAUUAACCAGAAUACAAACUUUCGUAUUAAGUGAAGUGGAUGAACUCCAUCACUCUAAGUAAGGUAUUUCGUGUACCAACCUACCCGAGUACUUGUGUGUGCAACAAAACAAGAAUUUGUGUUAUCACUAACACAGGUCUCUUUGUCUAUAAUGGGAAUCCUUCUAUUAAACCAGCCUCUAUUUGGAAGAAGACACGUGGCAUGAGAGUCUCCUAUAAAUAGAGGAGUCCCUAAAACAAAAGAGAGUUAGUUUUUAGACAUUACAAUAGGCAACUUGGUAGAAAAAAGAAAAGUAUUGGUUAAGACCCUAGAAAGACGAAAAACACCUAUAGAAUAUGGCUUAUAGACUCUGUAUAGUUUAGUUCAACCUUUUCUUUUGAUAACUGAAUAAUUAGUUUUAAAGGGCUAACCUAGAUGAACUACAAACUAAAAGAAAAAGAACAGAAAGGACAAAGAAAAGGAAUACCUCAUACAUGGAAUGUGCCCAAAGAGAUUCAUCUCUCUCCCUUUCUUUUCUCCUUCACCUUGAUCUAAUCCUAAACAGGGCCACCAGCCUGUGAUUUGGGAGAUAAAUAUAAACAUAAGAGAAUCCAAAGGCCUUGAAUAAAAAAAUUAUCAUAGAAUCCAAUGUAUCAAAUAAAAAACCAAAAUCAAUAUACAUAAAUUAAUCACAUGCAGUUGCCAAGAAAGAUAUAUCCUUUUUCUUUUUUUUUCCCUUUUUUAUAGGUGACCAAGAAAGGUCUAUCUAAAAAGAAAAGAAAUCUGAGUUCUGCAUUUUAGCAUAAAUUUUAGGAACCUAAAAAACCAAACUCCACCCAUGUAACUAUGGCUUAGAGGCUUUUACUUUUCUCUUAGCAUAUCUUAGAGCAACAAUAUCCUCUCAGAAAUAACUCAAACUUCAUCAUGAUAAAGAAGUUGAAAACAAAUUUGGUAUGAAUGUAAGAGUCUGAUCACAUGGAUCAAAAGCACCUAAUUUCACACCAAAUUAUGUAUUCUACAGCUCUAGUGGCAUGGCUUUCAUAACAAGACCAAGAAUAAAGAAGAUGACAAAGAAUAAAAGGUAGAAUUCAUUUAGCUUUUAGGGUAUAUAGCUAGCUAGAUUGACAUUUAUUUUAUCAUUCCAUUUGUUAAUCAUCAUUCUACAGUAUGAGGGAAAUAUUAUGAAAUGGUUAAAAUUUUCAGUGCUUACCUUCAAAACUUUAUCAUGGAUAAUGUGAGUGGAUAAUUCAUCCUAUCUACAGGAAACCAGAAAAGGCAAAAAAAACCAGGAAGAUUAGAAAGUUGAGAUCAAGUGCUAGAAAUCAUGACUAUCAUGAUAAUCACAAAAAUUGGAUGAGAGGAUGGUGAUGCAGAUAUAUGCUACCUACACCGGACGACAAAAUGUAAGCAAAGGAGGUAUCACUUCUUUCACAUUAAUCAUUUCUACAGAGUUACACCACAUUAAUUGGCAACCCUGUGGAAUCUAAACACAGGCACAUGUUUAUUCAUUUAUUUGCUAAGUUGCAACACUUUGUAUAUUCUAUCUGUAUGUGGAAGAAUUUAGAGGAAAAUAGUGACAGCAAUAAUGAAUUUUGCAAAGUUCCAUAAAACAAGGCUUCAAUAAACUCAUCCUCUCGGGCAAUUGAUGAGUAAAUAUAGGCAGGAUACUUUUUAAUUGCCCAAAUCAAUCUAAAAAAAUGACAUAAAAGAGUGUCAAUAAGCAACCUGAGAAUUGUGGGUGAGGAGAAGUCUCCAACAAGUCAUAGCUUCAGCCUGUUUUGGAUGCAUUCCUAGGAAUUCAUGGAAGCAAAAACCUGAUUGUUAAAACAGACACAAGUGACAAAUUGUAUGAAUUAAUGCUAGUCUGAGAGGUCAUAUCCUGAAUUUUCCUGAAUUUUCCACAUCCAAUUAGUUCCGAAUCUUUUACAUGCCGCUAUGUUAAGGAUUUUCUUCCAACUUUUAGUUUCAGUUUUGCACAGUUAAGGAUACAAAUUUCAUGGUGACCACUGCAAAACAGAGCCAAUUAUGAUUCAGAGAGAGGCCAUAGAUGGAGGAAAAACAUUAUAAUCAAUGAAUUAUGUGUGUGUGUGUGUGUGCACGCAUGUGUACAUAUAUAUUAUGCCAACUGGUGCAAUUUAAUUGGAUUUUAGAAUCUUGCUGUUCACUUUUGUGUAGUAUUAUACUCUUAUUAGCAUCUUAAUAAAGCUGUUCUCUUCACACAGAUUUCCCAAAAUGCUUUUCCCACAAAGUUAUUGAGCUUUUUAUCACAUCUUUCAGAGAAGCAUUUCUAAGUCUGUUGGGAGAGUAGAUCAAGUUCCUAAAAAGCAAGAUAGGGAUAAACAAAAUAUGACAAAUACAGAACACAAGUAUUAGAAACAAAAUUUGAAAUUUGCUUCUUUGCACAAACAAAAGAAAGUGCAAGUUGCUUGAGUUGGUCUCACUUGAAAACAGGAUGUAUGUAGCAGAUUCGCUAUAGAUCUUGAAGACCAUGCCUGCGGAAAUGGCACGGAACCAGAUUGGCUUGUUUUAAUUUCCUUAUUGCCCUCACCUUCGAAGUCACCACAGUAUAUAUUUGCGUCCAACAAUAGUCCAUUUCCCAUGAACAAUAAUGGAGCUCCUUAAGGUUUUUAUCACCCUUUUCAUUCUCCAAGCUCUCUGCAUCUCCCCGAGAUCAAUGCAAGCAGCUGCCAAGAACUCUAAGCUCUUUCAAGAAUACAUUGGAGCACAAUUUAACAAUGUCAAAUUUAGUGAUGUCCCCAUCAACCCAGAUGUUGAAUUCCACUUCAUUCUCGCCUUUGCAAUAGACUACUCCAGCCCCAGCACUCCUUCAAACUUUCCCACCAAUGGAAAAUUCAAUAUCUUCUGGGACGAACAGUAUCUCACCCCCGCCCACGUUUCUUCCAUCAAGAGUCGUCAUUCAAACGUCAAAGUACGUCUCAGCCUAGGAGGGGCUACUGUGGGAAGCAAGCUUGUUUACUUCAAGCCUUCUUCAGUGGAUUCCUGGGUUUCUAAUGCUGUUACUUCUCCAGUUCCAUUUGGAUGGAAUUGAUGUUGAUUAUAAGCAAUUCAGAGAUGAUCCCGAUACCUUCACCCAUUGCAUUGGACGCCUUAUAACAACCCUCAAGAAGAAUGGUGUUAUCUCAUAUGCUUCUAUAGCUCCCUACGACGAUGAUCAAGCUCAGAGCCAUUACAAGGCUCUCUGGAGGAGCUAUGGGCAUCUCAUAGAUUAUGUGACUUCCAGUUCUACUCAUACGAUACGUCCACCACUGUCACUCAAUUUCUGAAGUAUUUUGAGGAGCAGAGCUCUAAUUAUGAAGGAGGUAAGGUGCUGGUGAGCUUCCUCAGCCAUGAGAAUGGUGGGUUAGCUCCAAACAAAGGCCUUCUUUACUGCCUGUGAGAGGCUCAAGAGCCAGCAAAAGCUCCAUGGCAUCUUUGUUUGGUGUGCAGAUGACUCCUUGGCAAAUGGGUUCCGCUAUGAGAAGAAAGCGCAGUC